rnacentral:rRNA from 1 species
UAUUGGACAAUGGGCGAAAGCCUGAUCCAGCAAUGCCGCGUGAGUGAUGAAGGCCUUAGGGUUGUAAAGCUCUUUUACCCGGGAUGAUAAUGACAGUACCGGGAGAAUAAGCUCCGGCUAACUCCGUGCCAGCAGCCGCGGUAAUACGGAGGGAGCUAGCGUUGUUCGGAAUUACUGGGCGUAAAGCGCACGUAGGCGGCUUUGUAAGUUAGAGGUGAAAGCCCGGAGCUCAACUCCAGAAUUGCCUUUGAUACUGCAUCGCUUGAAUCCAGGAGAGGUGAGUGGAAUUCCGAGUGUAGAGGUGAAAUUCGUAGAUAUUCGGAAGAACACCAGUGGCGAAACGGCUCAAUAGCAGGUAUGACGUGAGG